CCAGAUUUGCACAGCAGGUCCAAGAUCCUGGCUUCAGGCAGCAGCUCGCUGCUCAGUCUUAUAUCACACAAAAGAGCUUUGCCCAGGCGCGUCGCCCGCUCUUUUCAUCCAAUCAUCUCCUGACAGGCAGUCUGGAAAGAAAGCGUACUCAUAUUGAUUCCGAAGGCACAAUUGGAACUCCGGCAUUUUCUUCUGGGCUCUGGGGUCGAGACGAAGGGGUUGGCAGUGCUGGCUGGGAAGCAAAGGAACAGCAGACACACAGGAGCUGAAGUGACAGUAAAUGAAGCUGCGGUCUUCAGGCUUAGGUGGAGUCGGGCGUUCUGCGCAUCUGUACCUCUGACAAAUGGAUUUGGUCCUCAGUUCCAGCCAUCAUCUGAUUUCAAGUUUGGUUACCUAGGAAACAGAGGGCACACUGCUGGGACAGUCAGCCCGUGUUCUGUGCCGACCAAAGCUAUUAAAACCCAUCAAGUCAGCCUCGGAGAAGCUGAGCACGGACAGUUUCAACUUCCAGCCAGCAGGAUCACCAGAAUGUCCUCAAGAGGAGACAGCUCUCCAAAAAAUGUGAGAAAGAAAGAAGCCAGAAUCUUCUACAGCCCAGUCUUGUAAGAGGCUCUUGGGUGUGUGUCUGUGCAACAACAGAUAGAAAUUAAAUUGAGAAAUUGCUUCUGAGUGGAAUAUGCCUGGACACUUCCUUGCCAUUAUUAUCCAAACAAUGUAACAACUAUUAAAAGAGAAUCUACACUGUGUUCAACAUCACAAGAACGUGGAGAUGCUUUCCCUACAGCAGAGGAUAUUAGGUCACAUGCAAAUGCUAUAUUUGGUCACUGUGGUUUUCAGCACAAGUCCUGGCAUGAAUCCCCCAUGGACACUGAGGGACAGUUGUCUUACUUAAACAUCCCUUCAAACUGCGGUGGUAUUUCCACAAAACUAGUUCAGAAACUGGACCAUGACUCUACAGACAAGUGUCUCCGUCUCCAGGUGUCGAUGGCUGGUGUUUCUGAGCAGCAUGAAAUCACAUCAGGUUCAUUCAUCAAAUCUGACUGACGAAGGCACCAAGGUGCCACGAAGUUAAGUGACCUGAGCCUGUUCACAUAGAAGAUGAGAAAUGGAGCUCUGUCUUACACCCCUAGCUUUCCUUUAGCUUGUAAAACUCAGGCAUUUAUUGCUCACAGUUCUAGACACCAAGAGUUUGAAUCUGGGUGCUGGCAAGAUGUUUUAUACACCCGGUUCCAGGCUCACAGGAGACUCCUCACAUGUUGAUGGAACAAAAUGGCUUCCUUAGAACUCUUCAGGCUUGUUUUUUUCAUGGAUUUCUACUUUAAAUUGAUGCAUAGUAUUUGUCCAUAUUUGUGAAG
rnacentral:lncRNA from 1 species